AGAGUUUGAUCAUGGCUCAGGACGAACGCUGGCGGCGUGCUUAACACAUGCAAGUCACGGGGGUCCGCAAGGACAACCGGCGAACGGGUGCGUAACACGUGAGCAACCUGCCUUAGUGUGGGGGAUAGCCGGCCCAACGGCCGGGUAAUACCGCAUACGAUUCUCGCGAGGAGUCUCGUGGGAAGGAAACCUCCGGGGCACUGAGAGGGGCUCGCGGCCUAUCAGCUAGUUGGCGGGGUAACGGCCCACCAAGGCGACGACGGGUAGCUGGUCUGAGAGGAUGGCCAGCCACAUUGGGACUGAGAGACGGCCCAGACUCCUACGGGAGGCAGCAGUGGGGAAUCUUGCGCAAUGGCCGAAAGGCUGACGCAGCGACGCCGCGUGUGGGAGGACGCCCUUCGGGGUGUAAACCACUGUUGCCCGGGACGAAUGCCCCUUUCGAGGGGAGUGACGGUACCGGGUGAGGAAGCACCGGCUAACUCCGUGCCAGCAGCCGCGGUAAUACGGAGGGUGCGAGCGUUGUCCGGAAUCACUGGGCGUAAAGGGCGCGUAGGCGGCGCGACAAGUCAACGGUGAAAGCCCGGGGCUCAACCCCGGGUCGGCCGUCGAUACUGUUGGGCUGGAGCACUGUAGAGGCAGGUGGAAUUCCGGGUGUAGCGGUGGAAUGCGUAGAGAUCCGGAAGAACACCGGUGGCGAAGGCGGCCUGCUGGGCAGUAGCUGACGCUGAUGCGCGACAGCGUGGGGAGCAAACAGGAUUAGAUACCCCCGUAGUCC
rnacentral:rRNA from 1 species